rnacentral:misc_RNA from 1 species
GAAAUGCGAUAAGUAGUGUGAAUUGCAGAAUUCAGUGAAUCAUCGAAUCUUUGAACGCACAUUGCGCCCUCUGGUAUUCCGGAGAGCAUGCCCGUUUCAGAAUCAUUAAAAACUCACCAUUCCCCUGGGCGUAGCCCACGGAACGGUGGAUGUUGGAUGGUUUGAGCGUCUGCCCAAACAUCUUAAAACCAUGGUACGUGCUCCAGCUGUAGCCGGUUGGAUGUUAAGGUGCAACAGAAUCUCUCUAUUCGCUUUGACGUUCAACUGAUGAGGUUGGUAGAGCGCGCACUCCUGGCCUACGAUGGGACCGCGGAAACGGUCCCACCGGUAACUUGGUCUGAAAUCGGGCAAGAAAACCCGCUGAACUUAA